CGUGGAGGGGGCGGAAGAGGGGUCCUGGAAGGCCGUAGCCAACACCAUCGCCGCCCUCGCCCCCCCUGGCAAGAGGUUCGGGGGGCUGGCGCUGCUUGGUUGUAGGCUGCGUGCGGCCGAGCUGCCGCCGCUGCUGCAGGAGCUGAGAGACAAGGGCCUGAGGACGGACGGCGGGGGCGACACGCACGCCAAGGCUGUCGGGUGGGAUGUCUACCUCCGCAUCACUGACCGCGUGCCCCUGGGGGGACCAGCGGGGCCCAGUGACGCCGAACUGCAGGAGGCGCUGCAGGAAUACCUGCGACAACAUUAGGGCGAGGAACACUAGGACGAGGAACACUAGGACGAGGAGCACUAGGACGAGGAACACUAGGACGAGGAACACUAGGACGAGGAACACUAGGACGAGGAACACUAGGACGAGGAAACAAUAGGACGAGGAACAAUAGGACGAGGAACACUAGGACGAGCAAAACUAGGAAGGAAUUCACGACUUGAACUUGGUGUAACUCAUUUCAACCUACUCGAUGCUCAUUCAUUUUAAAGAAUUAUGUAGAUUAAAUGAACUCCAAUUCUGUUUGCAUGUUCUGUCAGGA